AUCCAUGUGAUGAUUUCUUGGAUUCCCCUUCAAGACAAAUGAUCUAUUCAUUUAAAUGAUGCACAACUCCAAGAUUCUGAUGCA
rnacentral:snoRNA from 1 species